UUCUCCUGAGAAACAGCUCAUUCUGCUUUGGAGUCUAUUUCUGUUCCACUGGAGGAGAAGGAUAAGCCUAUUCUUAAACCAGUGCUCAGAUAAGUUCUGACAUAUUUUACCCAUCACUGAUCAAGCACUUAAUCUAAUUAGCUCUGUAAUGAACUACUCAAUUGCAAAGCUACAGACUGUCCCAGAGGAGUCAGCCCUUUCUGCACACAUUUAGAGGCUCUUUGGAAGCUGUUCAUUGGAGCUGAGGUUGGAUUCUGACUGUACAGUAAUAACUUCUGUGUCAGCACUGAACUGCUUUUGAAAACUCUAUUUGUAAGUCCCUUCUACUAAACCCAAAGCAACUGGACUAAGGUCACUUCAGAAGAGGCCCAAGCAGAACUCUUGCACUUUGCACCAGCAGCUGGGAAAGCAGGAAUUCCAAACAAGAUUCCUCAGUGGAAAAACCUGUGUUGAAGUCAAGAAUAUAAAGGAUGGAAAAAUCCACAGUACCCCAUUCAGAGGCAAAGAAAAGAGUAAAUACAUUCAUUGCUUUCCUCAGAAGAAAUGUAUUGUGCAGCUGCUGUGGAAUACAAUAUUGAGAUGAAAAUGAAGCUGCAAUGGAAAUGGAAUGAG